UAGGGAAUCUUCCGCAAUGGACGCAAGUCUGACGGAGCAACGCCGCGUGAGUGAAGAAGGAUUUCGGUUCGUAAAACUCUGUUGUUAGAGAAGAACAGCGCAUAGAGUAACUGUUAUGCGUGUGACGGUAUCUAACCAGAAAGCCACGGCUAACUACGUGCCAGCAGCCGCGGUAAUACGUAGGUGGCAAGCGUUGUCCGGAUUUAUUGGGCGUAAAGCGAGCGCAGGCGGUCAAUUAAGUCUGAUGUGAAAGCCCCCGGCUCAACCGGGGAGGGUCAUUGGAAACUGGUUGACUUGAGUGCAGAAGAGGAGAGUGUAAUUCCAUGUGUAGCGGUGAAAUGCGUAGAUAUAUGGAGGAACACCAGUGGCGAAGGCGACUCUCUGGUCUGUAACUGACGCUGAGGCUCGAAAGCGUGGGUAGCAAACAGG
rnacentral:rRNA from 1 species